rnacentral:rRNA from 1 species
UUUCCGGUUGAUCCUGCCGGACCUGACUGCUAUCGGAUUGAUACAUAAGCCAUGCGAGUCAUUGUAGCAAUACAAGGCAUACGGCUCAGUAACGCGUAGUCAACCUAACCUAUGGACGGGAAUAACCUCGGGAAACUGAGAAUAAUGCCCGAUAGAACAUUAUGCCUGGAAUGGUUUAUGUUCCAAAUGAUUUAUCGCCGUAGGAUGGGACUGAGGACUAUCAGUUUGUAGGUGAGGUAAUGGCCCACCAAGACUAUUACAGGUACGGGCUCUGAGAGGAGUAGCCCGGAGAUGGGUACUGAGACACGGACCCAGGCCCUAUGGGGCGCAGCAGUGCGAGAAAACUUUGCAAUGUGCGAAAGCACGACAAGGUUAAUCCGAGUGGUUUCUGCUAAAGAAACCUUUUUGUCAGUCC